rnacentral:lncRNA from 7 species
UCUUUGGUAGGAAGCAGUCCCACUGAGUCAAUGAAGGCAGCUGUGCUAGCCAGGGCUGUGACCUGAGCCAUAGCCUGAACAAUAAAUUCUGUGAAGGAAGAAGGGCAAACCUCUGGGAAUUGCCUGUUUCCUUGGAAGAUGUGAGGAGCCUGUUGCUUGGAGGACCUCACUGCAUCUGUCGAGCAAGGAAAAGGCAGUGCUGCCCCACAAUGGACGAAAGGGAUGCAAGAUCCCAAGGUCUCCUUCGGCGUCAGAUUUCCAACUUCAGGUCUAAGGAUUUGAAGGGCUUCAACUGAGUCACACAACUCUGAUGGUAGCGGUGCCCAAUCUUCAGCUGUUGCAUCAGCAAAAGGAAGGAAUCAGGACACAAAAGCUGUCGGUGCGUAUUGUUCACCACUCGCCAGUGAAAUGGAAAUUCAAGGACAGGGAGCAGGAUGGAGGCAGCGUUUGUCACUGAUCCAUGCUACCUUUUGCGCAGAAAGGGCUCUGAAGCAUCACAUAAUGACAAGGGCAUAGGUAAACACAUACUGGGAAUAGAAUAAAAAUAAAAAGGGGGCAAAUCUAUAUCUGCUUUUGAACUGCUUAGAAAAAGUGUAAUAUGCAUUUCCUCCAUGAUGUUGUAAAGUCCAGUUUUCUGUAGCAUGUGCCAGCCUUCAGGAGCUCUCAUCAGCUGUCUUAUGACUGUACCCUCUCAU